AGGCAGCAUCGUCUCAAGUUUUGUUCUCCUCUCCUAGCUAGCCAGCACCUGCAGAUCUGCUCGUUGCCUUGCGGCGCCGUGGUUUCCUGCAUGCUGCUCCUGGUGGUGGCGGCGCAACUGCUCAUGGUGAUGGCCACGCAGACAGCGGCGGCGGCGGCGGCGGCGGGCGACCAACGCGGAGCUGGACGCCGGCUGCUGUGGCAGGUGACCUGCCACUACAGCAACUGUAAUUGCCGCACUUGCCCGAUAUAUGGCUGGGCGUGCUGCAGCACUUGCUGCUAGCUAGCUAGCUAGCUAGUGUGAGUUCUUCCGCGCGCGCAAGCAGCCUUUGCAUACCACCCCUCUUGCUUAGCUCAUGCAUGUCCAGCAGUAGCCGGUUGCUGGGCUCGUCGUCGUCGUCGUCUGCGGCGGCGGCGGCGGGGGCGGGGGCGGCGUCAUCUCUGGCGUGGUUACGUUCUCAUCAGCGACUUCUAAUGGCGCUCGCUCGAUCUUUAUUUCCUGCAGUCCUUUUUGUAAUAAGAAGCCAAUUGAUGUGUGUGCACGCGCAAUCCUAAUAAUAAAUAGAUCUUCUUUGUGCCUUGCUUUGUUUGAUAUAUAUAAUAAAAGUCUUCGU
rnacentral:lncRNA from 7 species